GGCUCAGAGCGAACGUUUGCGGCGGGCCUAACACAUGCAAGUCGAACGCACUAGCAAUAGUGAGUGGCGCACGGGUGCGUAACACGUGGGUAAUCAACCCUUCAGCUUGGGAUAACGACUUGAAAGGGUCGCUAAUACCGGAUACGGCGCGGGAGGCUUCGGCUUCUCACGUGAAAGCCUCGCAAGGGGUACUGAAGGACGAGCCUGCGGCCCAUCAGCUAGUUGGUGAGGUAAGAGCUCACCAAGGCGAAGACGGGUAGCUGGUCUGAGAGGAUGAUCAGCCACACUGGAACUGAGACACGGUCCAGACUCCUACGGGAGGCAGCAGUGGGGAAUAUUGCGCAAUGGGCGAAAGCCUGACGCAGCCACGCCGCGUGAGCGAUGAAGGCCUUCGGGUCGUAAAGCUCUGUGGGGAGAGACGAAGAAAGCCCGUGAAGAGCGGGCCUUGACGGUAUCUCCUUAGCAAGCACCGGCUAACUCCGUG
rnacentral:rRNA from 1 species